GACGAACGCUAGCGGCGUGCUUAACACAUGCAAGUCGAACGGAAAGGCUCCAGCUUGCUGGAGUACUCGAGUGGCGAACGGGUGAGUAACACGUGGGUAAUCUGCCCUGCACUCUGGGAUAAGCCUGGGAAACUGGGUCUAAUACUGGAUAUGACCUUUCUCCUUAUGGGGUUUGGUGGAAAGUUUUUCGGUGUAGGAUGAGCCCGCGGCCUAUCAGCUUGUUGGUGGGGUGAUGGCCUACCAAGGCGACAACGGGUAGCCGGCCUGAGAGGGUGAUCGGCCACAUUGGGACUGAGAUACGGCCCAGACUCCUACGGGAGGCAGCAGUGGGGAAUAUUGCACAAUGGGCGGAAGCCUGAUGCAGCGACGCCGCGUGAGGGAUGACGGCCUUCGGGUUGUAAACCUCUUUCAGCAGGGACGAAGCGUAAGUGACGGUACCUGCAGAAGAAGCACCGGCUAACUAUGUG
rnacentral:rRNA from 1 species